rnacentral:rRNA from 1 species
GACGUAGGGCGCGAGCGUUGUCCGGAUUUAUUGGGCGUAAAGAGCUCGUAGGCGGCUUGUCGCGUCGAAUGUGAAAACUCGGGGCUCAACUCCGAGCUUGCAUUCGAUACGGGCAGGCUAGAGUUCGGUAGGGGAGACUGGAAUUCCUGGUGUAGCGGUGAAAUGCGCAGAUAUCAGGAGGAACACCAAUGGCGAAGGCAGAUCUCUGGGCCGUAACUGACGCUGAGGAGCGAAAGCAUGGGGAGCGAACAGG